CCUACGGGAGGCAGCAGUAGGGAAUCUUGCACAAUGGGGGAAACUCUGACGCAGCGACGCCGCGUGAGUGAAGAAGGAUUUCGGUAUGUAAAGCUCUAUCAUCAGGGAAGAAAAUGACGGUACCUGACUAAGAAGCCCCUGCUAACUACGUGCCAGCAGCCGCGGUAAUACGUAGGGGGCAAGCGUUCUCCGGAUUUACUGUGUGUAAAGGGAGUGGAGACGGCCAGACAAGUCAGAAGUGAAAGCCCAGGGCUCAACCCUGGGACUGCUUUUGAAACUGCCGGGCUGGAGUGCAGGAGAGGUAAGCGGAAUUCCAAGUGUAGCGGUGAAAUGCGUAGAUAUUAGGAGGAACACCAGUGGCGAAGGCGGCUUACUGGACUGUAACUGACGUUGAGGCUCGAAAGCGUGGGGAGCAAACAGGAUUAGAUACCCGUGUAGUC
rnacentral:rRNA from 1 species